UACGUAGGGGGCGAGCGUUGUCCGGAUUUAUUGGGCGUAAAGAGCUCGUAGGCGGUUUGGUAAGUCGGAUGUGAAAUCUCCAGGCUCAACCUGGAGGGGUCAUUCGAUACUGCCAUGACUAGAGGUCGGUAGGGGUGUGUGGAAUUCCUGGUGGAGCGGUGAAAUGCGCAGAUAUCAGGAGGAACACCCGUAGCGAAGGCGGCACACUGGGCCGGUACUGACGCUGAGACGCGAAAGCGUGGGGAGCGAACAGG
rnacentral:rRNA from 1 species